GGUUGUGCCCUUGAGGCGUGGCUUCCGGAGCUAACGCGUUAAGUCGACCGCCUGGGGAGUACGGCCGCAAGGUUAAAACUCAAAUGAAUUGACGGGGGCCCGCACAAGCGGUGGAGCAUGUGGUUUAAUUCGAUGCAACGCGAAGAACCUUACCUACUCUUGACAUCCACAGAACUUAGCAGAGAUGCUUCGGUGCCUUCGGGAACUGUGAGACAGGUGCUGCAUGGCUGUCGUCAGCUCGUGUUGUGAAAUGUUGGGUUAAGUCCCGCAACGAGCGCAACCCUUAUCCUUUGUUGCCAGCACGUAAUGGUGGGAACUCAAGGGAGACUGCCGGUGACAAACCGGAGGAAGGUGGGGAUGACGUCAAGUCAUCAUGGCCCUUACGAGUAGGGCUACACACGUGCUACAAUGGCAGAUACAAAGUGAAGCGAACUCGCGAGAGCAAGCGGACCACAUAAAGUCUGUCGUAGUCCGGAUUGGAGUCUGCAACUCGACUCCAUGAAGUCGGAAUCGCUAGUAAUCGUAGAUCAGAAUGCUACGGUGAAUACGUUCCCGGGCCUUGUACACACCGCCCGUCACACCAUGGGAGUGGGUUGCAAAAGAAGUAGGUAGCUUAACCUUCGGGAGGGCGCUUACCACUUUGUGAUUCAUGACUGGGGUGAAGUCGUAAGG
rnacentral:rRNA from 1 species